UAUUCAAUAUUCUGUUACUGAAUAUCCCUUUACCUCUUCUCAAACGCUGUUACAACAAUCCCAAGAGAAUUGGUUCAAUAAAAUAAGUCCACAUCUCCUCUCCCGAUAUCAAGUUUUUCAAUGUCUAGAGAUUACACUCUCUUGGAUGCGAACACCUAUCCAUGGCAGUAGCUUUAAUUUAACUGCUUUGUGCACUCACGGCUCGCAAAGAUGAGAAGGAUGAGUCUCACUAACCUGCCGAAUGCAUAGCAAGAGGGUAACCAUGGAUACUUGCUAGCAAACUAUGUCAUGUCAUGUCCUAUGCCCGGCAAGGUAUAGGAUGGCAUAGCUGAUCGGGCCGAGAUCAGACUUCAUGCGCUCACAUGAUGGUUUAUGACGGUUCACUAUUUUAUCCCACAAAUAAUCAAACGAAUUAAAUUUACCUAACCUGGUUAAUUACGAAUUUUGUUUAUAUUUUUGCUCCUUUCUAGUUGACUUCACUUAAAUUUAAAUUUGAUUUUCAUUUAUAAUCUCUUGUUGUAUUAUCCUCCUGAAAUGGUUUUAUGUACCAAUACAUUCACAUGUAUUGACAUUCUUUGGCGCUA